rfam:Ovis aries breed Texel chromosome 14, whole genome shotgun sequence.
UCCCUGGUAGCUCAGAGAGUAAGAGCAUUUGCCUACAACUCAGGAGACCCAGGUUUGAUCCCUGGGUUGGGAA